CCUACGGGGGGCUGCAGUGGGGAAUAUUGCACAAUGGGGGGAACCCUGAUGCAGCGACGCCGCGUGGGUGAAGAAGCGCCUCGGCGCGUAAAGCUCUGUCAGCAGGGAAGAAAAUGACGGUACCUGAAGAAGAAGCCCCGGCGAACUACGUGCCAGCAGCCGCGGUAAUACGUAGGGGGCAAGCGUUAUCCGGAUUUACUGGGUGUUAAGGGGGCGCAGACGGCGAUGCAAGUCAGGAGUGAAAGCCCGGGGCUCAACCCCGGGACUGCUGUUGAAACUGCGUGGCUGGAGUGCAGGAGGGGCAGGCGGAAUGCCUGGUGUAGCGGUGAAAUGCGUAGAUAUCAGGAGGAACACCGGUGGCGAAGGCGGCCUGCUGGACUGCAACUGACGUUGAGGCACGAAAGCGUGGGGAGCAAACAGGAUUAGAUACCCCUGUAGUC
rnacentral:rRNA from 1 species